CUUAACACAUGCAAGUCGAACGAUGAACCGGGUGCUUGCGCCUGGGGAUUAGUGGCGAACGGGUGAGUAACACGUGAGUAACCUGCCCUGGACUCUGGGAUAACCCCGAGAAAUCGGAGCUAAUACCGGAUAGGACCUGGAACCGCAUGGUUUUGGGUGGAAAGUUUUUUCGGUCUGGGAUGGACUCGCGGCCUAUCAGCUUGUUGGUGAGGUAAUGGCUCACCAAGGCGUCGACGGGUAGCCGGCCUGAGAGGGUGACCGGCCACACUGGGACUGAGACACGGCCCAGACUCCUACGGGAGGCAGCAGUGGGGAAUAUUGCACAAUGGGCGAAAGCCUGAUGCAGCAACGCCGCGUGAGGGAUGACGGCCUUCGGGUUGUAAACCUCUUUUAGUAGGGAAGAAGGGCUUCGGCUUGACGGUACCUGCAGAAAAAGCACCGGCUAACUACGUGCCAGCAGCCGCGGUAAUACGUAGGGUGCGAGCGUUGUCCGGAAUUAUUGGGCGUAAAGAGCUCGUAGGCGGUUUGUCACGUCUGCUGUGAAAUCCCGAGGCUCAACCUCGGGCCUGCAGUGGGUACGGGCAGACUGGAGUGCGGUAGGGGAGAUUGGAAUUCCUGGUGUAGCGGUGGAAUGCGCAGAUAUCAGGAGGAACACCGAUGGCGAAGGCAGAUCUCUGGGCCGUAACUGACGCUGAGGAGCGAAAGCGUGGGGAGCGAACAGGAUUAGAUACCCUGGUAGUCCACGCCGUAAACGUUGGGCGCUAGAUGUGGGGACCAUUCCACGGUUUCCGUGUCGUAGCUAACGCAUUAAGCGCCCCGCCUGGGGAGUACGGCCGCAAGGCUAAAACUCAAAGGAAUUGACGGGGGCCCGCACAAGCGGCGGAGCAUGCGGAUUAAUUCGAUGCAACGCGAAGAACCUUACCAAGGCUUGACAUAUACGAGAACGCCGCAGAAAUGUGGAACUCUUUGGACACUCGUAUACAGGUGGUGCAUGGUUGUCGUCAGCUCGUGUCGUGAGAUGUUGGGUUAAGUCCCGCAACGAGCGCAACCCUCGUCGUAUGUUGCCAGCACGUAAUGGUGGGAACUCAUAUGAGACUGCCGGGGUCAACUCGGAGGAAGGUGGGGAUGACGUCAAAUCAUCAUGCCCCUUAUGUCUUGGGCUUCACGCAUGCUACAAUGGCCGGUACAAAGGGCUGCGAUGUCGUAAGGCGGAGCGAAUCCCAAAAAGCCGGUCUCAGUUCGGAUUGAGGUCUGCAACUCGACCUCAUGAAGUCGGAGUCGCUAGUAAUCGCAGAUCAGCAACGCUGCGGUGAAUACGUUCCCGGGCCUUGUACACACCGCCCGUCAAGUCAUGAAAGUCGGUAACACCCGAAGCCGGUGGCCUAACCCUUGUGGAGGGAGCCGUCGAAGGU
rnacentral:rRNA from 1 species